AGCAGCCGCGGUAAUUCCAGCUCCAAUAGCGUAUAUUAAAGUUGUUGCAGUUAAAAAGCUCGUAGUUGAAUUUCGGGGUUAGUAGGUUGGUCGUGCCACUGGUACGUACUGGUCUCACUGACUCCUCCUUCCUGAUGAACUGUAAUGCCAUUAAUUUGGUGUUGCGGGGAAACUGGACUGUUACUUUGAAAAAUUAGAGUGUUUAAAGCAAGCUAACGCUUGAAUACAUUAGCAUGGAAUAAUGAAAUAGGACGUUCGAUCCUAUUUUGUUGGUUUCUAGGAUUGACGUAAUGAUUAAUAGGGAUAGUUGGGGGCAUUAGUAUUCAAUUGUCAGAGGUGAAAUUCUUGGAUUUAUUGAAGACUAACUACUGCGAAAGCAUUUGCCAAGGAUGUUUUCAUUAAUCAAGAACGAAAGUUAGGGGAUCGAAGACGAUCAGAUACCGUCGUAGUCUUAACCAUAAACUAUGCCGACUAGGAUCGGAUGAU
rnacentral:rRNA from 1 species